UGAAGGGACAAUGCUUGGAAAUGCACACUUGGCACCCUUCUAGCUUUUUGACCUUGUGUUUCUUUCCACUAUAAUUUAAGAUUUAAGGUUGCGAUUUGUAGUCUAGACCCCUCAGCAGAUAGAGUGGAUAUAAUGACUGGUCAGAACGUGCAGUUGAAGGUCUGUCAUGCUCAAUCACUUAAAGCUAUAAUGUGUUUACUGCGAAUAUUAAGCAUGUAGACCUAGUGCAGCAUGGGAGCCACUCAGGAAGUUUAUGCAAUUAAACUUUCAUGCAUAAUUUACCAUGAAAUAUGUAGAUUUCAGCCAAUUCUCAAUACUUAACAUUUAGUUAUAUAUGUGAACUCUCCUUUCUUAAUUCGGGAAUGUAGCAUUAUAUAGAAUGCUGUUAAACUUAAUUUUAACCUUUUUAACAUUAACUUUUGUUUUGGUAAGCCAAGUGAUCUACCUUUCAGCAGUUGUCUGGUUUUGAUUCGUCGAAACUGUGAUUUUUAUUUUAAUCACUACCCAACUGUUGUUAAAUUUUUGUUUCCUGGAAUUUUGUUUUGAAAUAAAAAAUAAAGGCUGUGUUAAAUGAGUAUGUCACCUUAUUAAAAUUCUGUCAUAUUUACUGCA
rnacentral:lncRNA from 1 species